rnacentral:rRNA from 1 species
CCUACGGGACGCACCAGUGGGGAAUAUUGGACAAUGGGCGAAAGCCUGAUCCAGCAAUGCCGCGUGAGUGAAGAAGGUCUUCGGAUUGUAAAGCACUUUCGACGGGGACGAUGAUGACGGUACCCGUAGAAGAAGCCCCGGCUAACUUCAUGCCAGCAGCCGCGGUAAUACGAAGGGGGCUAGCGUUGCUCGGAAUGACUGGGCGUAAAGGACGCGUAGGCGGUUUAUGCAGUCAGAUGUGAAAUCCCCGGGCUUAACCUGGGAACUGCAUUUGAGACGCAUAGACUAGAGGUCGAGAGAGGGUUGUGGAAUUCCCAGUGUAGAGGUGAAAUUCGUAGAUGUUGGGAAGAACACCGGUGGCGAAGGCGGCAACCUGGCUCGAUACUGACGCUGAGGCGCGAAAGCGUGGGGAGCAAACAGGAUUAGAUACCCCGGUAGUC